AAAGUCGUAACAAGGUUUCCGUAGGUGAACCUGCGGAAGGAUCAUUAUCGAGUUCCUGCCCUCCGGGGUAGAUCUCCACCCUUGCUUAUCUACUCUGUUGCUUUGGCGGGCCGUCCUUCUCGGCCGUCGGCUCCGGCUGGCGCGUGCUCGUCAAAGACCCAUACACGCUUUUUUUGUGUUGUCUGAGUCCUAUAUAAUUAUUUAAAACUUUCAACAACGGAUCUCUUGGUUCUG
rnacentral:misc_RNA from 1 species